UCCCUUUUAGCUCAAUGGUUGAGCGUUGGCUUUGAGAGCCACAACCACAAGUGGUUCGAGCCCACCAUGGUAC